AGAGUUUGAUCCUGGCUCAGAUUGAACGCUGGCGGCAGGCCUAACACAUGCAAGUCGAGCGGAUGACGGGAGCUUGCUCCUUGAUUCAGCGGCGGACGGGUGAGUAAUGCCUAGGAAUCUGCCUGGUAGUGGGGGACAACGUUUCGAAAGGAACGCUAAUACCGCAUACGUCCUACGGGAGAAAGCAGGGGACCUUCGGGCCUUGCGCUAUCAGAUGAGCCUAGGUCGGAUUAGCUAGUUGGUGGGGUAAUGGCUCACCAAGGCGACGAUCCGUAACUGGUCUGAGAGGAUGAUCAGUCACACUGGAACUGAGACACGGUCCAGACUCCUACGGGAGGCAGCAGUGGGGAAUAUUGGACAAUGGGCGAAAGCCUGAUCCAGCCAUGCCGCGUGUGUGAAGAAGGUCUUCGGAUUGUAAAGCACUUUAAGUUGGGAGGAAGGGCAGUAAGCUAAUACCUUGCUGUUUUGACGUUACCGACAGAAUAAGCACCGGCUAACUCUGUGCCAGCAGCCGCGGUAAUACAGAGGGUGCAAGCGUUAAUCGGAAUUACUGGGCGUAAAGCGCGCGUAGGUGGUUUGUUAAGUUGGAUGUGAAAGCCCCGGGCUCAACCUGGGAACUGCAUCCAAAACUGGCAAGCUAGAGUACGGUAGAGGGUGGUGGAAUUUCCUGUGUAGCGGUGAAAUGCGUAGAUAUAGGAAGGAACACCAGUGGCGAAGGCGACCACCUGGACUGAUACUGACACUGAGGUGCGAAAGCGUGGGGAGCAACAGGAUUAGAUACCCUGGUAGUCCACGCCGUAAACGAUGUCAACUAGCCGUUGGAAUCCUUGAGAUUUUAGUGGCGCAGCUAACGCAUUAAGUUGACCGCCUGGGGGAGUACGGCCGCAAGGUUAAAACUCAAAUGAAUUGACGGGGGCCCGCACAAGCGGUGGAGCAUGUGGUUUAAUUCGAAGCAACGCGAAGAACCUUACCAGGGCCUUGACAUGCAGAGAACUUUCCAGAGAUGGGAUUGGUGCCUUCGGGAACUCUGACNCAGGUGCUGCAUGGCUGUCGUCAGCUCGUGUCGGUGAGAUGUUGGGUUAGUCCGUACGAGCGCACCC
rnacentral:rRNA from 1 species